UUAGGAUUUAGUAGGUGAUCUCUUUGUGCAGAGACGCCUGAAAGUUAAUGUUUAUCUGGUUGCUGACUCAUUAAAGAAGAGAGGUGAAACACACGUAGUACAAACAUUGCAGAUCAAGCCCCGUACCAGUGAGUCCUUCCCACUUCCUGGCUCUCUGCUCUCUUCUCGGGGCAUUUAUUCAGCACUUCAGCACGGUCUAGAGGACCGCCGAUGCCCUCCUAUGCGUGCUCUUGCUGGGAAUAAGUCCUGGGGCAAUCGGUCAAACAAGAGAUCACUUACUUGAAACCUCUUGAGGUCUGAAAAGCGAGGGAAGAUUCCCAGCUGUUAUCCACAGCCAGUAACCAGGGUAAAAGCAGCAAUCAUCACCAGAUUUACACCCUGCCUUACUUUGUGGAAGAUCCUUGGAAGAAACGGGUUUAGGCCUCCAUCAAACUCUAAAAGCACGUCAACCGGCCAGGACUGUCCACUAGCAUCUAACACUCCCAACAACAGCAACAAAACCAGAACAAACCAAUGGAUGCAUCAACUCCUGUAACUGGGGCUAGCACAGAUUCCCAGCUUUGAGUUUCCUGGUAAUCAAAGAGUCCAGAACCCUCCAAGUCCCAGGAGAGCGCUCCAUCGCCAAAGAAGGAAGUACUCUCUCACCAUCGGUCUUGAGAGAUGGCAAAUUAAAUGACAUCAUUCUGCAAAUACUCAGUGGAUCUUGGCAUCACUGAAGGGAAAGUCUGAGAGCUUGAAGAACCGUCCAUCUCAAGGGAUCACAUGGUCUUCAGCAACACACAGGCAAAAUACAUGAUGUAAACUGCUAUUUGACCAGCAGUGAUUAGGCAGAUUCCCAAUGGUACAACAGGGCAAACCUUCAGCUGCUGCCAGCUCUUCCUCAGUAUUUGGGAGUAACCCUUG